ACCCCGGGAGGGGAGUGAAAGAGAACCUGAAACCAUAUGCUUACAACAAGUCAGAGCCCGUUAAUGGGUGAUGGCGUGCCUUUUGUAGAAUGAACCGGCGAGUUAUGAUAUUGUGCGAGGUUAAGGUUGAAGGAUCGGAGCCGCAGCGAAAGCGAGUCUUAAGCGGGCGCAAGAGUACAAUGAUAUAGACCCGAAACCGUGCGAGCUAGACAUGAGCAGGUUGAAGUUGGGGUAACACCUAAUGGAGGACCGAACCGUAGUCCGUUGAAAAGGGCCCGGAUGACUUGUGUCUAGGGGAGAAAUUCCAAUCGAGUUCCGAGAUAGCUGGUUCUCACCGAAAUAGCUUUAGGGCUAGCGUCGAGAAAAGAGUUUAUUGGGGGUAAAGCACUGAAUGUCUGAUGGCCUCAUCUAGGGGUACUGAAUACAAUCAAACUCUGAAUACCAAUAAACACGCUCGGCAGUCAGACUACGGGUGAUAAGGUUCGUGGUCAAGAGGGAAACAGCCCAGAUCGCCAGUUAAGGUCCCAAAAUUUAUGCUAAGUGGGAAAGGAUGUAGUUCCGUAUAGACAGCUAGGAGGUUGGCUUAGAAGCAGCCAUCCUUUAAAGAGUGCGUAACAGCUCACUAGUCGAAUAGAACCGCGCCGAAAAUGUACCGGGGCUAAGCAUAAUACCGAAACUGCGGAAUUAGAGUAAUCUAAUUGGUAGGUGAGCGUUCCAAGGGCAUCGAAGGUAGACCGAGAGGACUACUGGAGCGCUUGGAAGUGAGAAUGCCGGUAUGAGUAACGAAAAGUUGGGUGAGAAUCCCAACCGUCAAAAGUCCAAGGUUUCCAGGGGAAGGUUCGUCCGCCCUGGGUUAGUCAGGUCCUAAGGUGAGGCUGAAAAGCGUAGCUGAUGGACAACAGGUUGAUAUUCCUGUACUACUUGUUUGACUGAAGGAGUGACGGAGAAAGAUAGUUUGGGCCAACGAAUGGAUGUUGGUUGAAGGUAACGAGGCUGUGGUGUAGGCAAAUCCGCAUCACACGAGGCUGAGUACUGAUAACGUAAGUCAGAUGAAUCUAUGCUUCCAAGAAAAGCUUCUAGGGAUAAUCAAACAAGUACCUGUACCGCAAACCGACACAGGUGGACGAGGAGAGAAUCUAAAGACGCGCGAGAUAACCCUUGUUAAGGAACUCGGCAAAUUUACCCCGUAAGUUCGCGAUAAGGGGAGCUUUAAGUAAUUAAAGCCGCAGAGAAGCGGCCCAAGCAACUGUUUACCAAAAACACAGGUCUCUGCUAAACCGCAAGGUGACGUAUAGGGGCUGACACCUGCCCAGUGCUGGAAGGUUAAGAGGAGAAGUUAGCGCAAGCGAAGCUUUGAAUUGAAGCCCCAGUGAACGGCGGCCGUAACUAUAACGGUCCUAAGGUAGCGAAAUUCCUUGACAGGUAAGUUCUGUCCCGCACGAAUGGUGUAAUGACUUGGGCACUGUCUCAACAAGGGACUCGGUGAAAUUUUAGUACCUGUGAAGAUGCAGGUUACCCGCGACUAGACGGAAAGACCCCAUGGAGCUUUACUGUAGCUUGAUAUUGAUAUUCGGUCAUUAAUGUACAGGAUAGGUGGGAGACUAUGAAGCCGGGACCUCAGUUUCGGUGGAGUCGACGUUGGGAUACCACCCUUUGGUUAUUGAGUAUCUAACUCGCUGGUGUGGAACCAGGAGGACAGUGUCUGGUGGUCAGUUUGACUGGGGCGGUCGCCUCCCAAAGAGUAACGGAGGCGCACAAAGGUUAGCUCAGAAUGGUUGGGAAUCAUUCGUAGAGUGUAAUGGCAGAAGCUAGCUUGACUGCGAGUCGUACAUGACGAGCAGAGACGAAAGUCGGUCAUAGUGAACUGGCGAUUCCGAAUGGAAGGGUCGUCAAUCAACGGAUAAAAGUUACCCUGGGGAUAACAGGCUGAUGACUUCCAAGAGUACACAUCGACGAAGUCGUUUGGCACCUCGAUGUCGGCUCAUCGCAUCCUGGAGCUGGAGUCGGUUCCAAGGGUUGGGCUGUUCGCCCAUUAAAGCGGUACGUGAGCUGGGUUCAGAACGUCGUGAGACAGUUCGGUCCCUAU
rnacentral:rRNA from 1 species